rnacentral:rRNA from 1 species
CCUACGGGAGGCUGCAGUGAGGAAUAUUGGUCAAUGGACGAGAGUCUGAACCAGCCAAGUAGCGUGAAGGAUGACUGCCCUAUGGGUUGUAAACUUCUUUUAUAUGGGAAUAAAAUGUUCCACGUGUGGGAUUUUGUAUGUACCAUAUGAAUAAGGAUCGGCUAACUCCGUGCCAGCAGCCGCGGUAAUACGGAGGAUCCGAGCGUUAUCCGGAUUUAUUGGGUUUAAAGGGAGCGUAGGUGGAUUGUUAAGUCAGUUGUGAAAGGUUGCGGCUAAACCGUAAAAUUGCAGUUGAAACUGGCAGUCUUGAGUACAGUAGAGGUGGGCGGAAUUCGUGGUGUAGCGGUGAAAUGCUUAGAUAUCACGAAGAACUCCGAUUGCGAAGGCAGCUCACUGGACUGCAACUGACACUGAGGCUCGAAAGUGUGGGUAUCAAACAGGAUUAGAUACCCAGUAGUC